rnacentral:rRNA from 1 species
GAUGAACGCUGACAGAAUGCUUAACACAUGCAAGUCUUUGGUGAAGCUGUGCUUGCCCCGCCUAGCCAAGGCGGACGGGUGAGUAACGCGUAAGGAACUUGCCCUGCAGUCAGGGAUAACAGACGGAAACGACUGAUAAGACCUGGUAAAGUCAGGCGGACUCAUGUCCAGCCUGAUGAAAAGAGAUGCUGCAGGAGAGCCUUGCGUCCUAUUAGCUUGUUGGUGGGGUAACGGCCCACCAAGGCAAUGAUAGGUAGCCGGCCUGAGAGGGUGGACGGCCACAAGGGGACUGAGAUACGGCCCUUACUCCUACGGGAGGCAGCAGUGGGGAAUAUUGGACAAUGGGGGCAACCCUGAUCCAGCAAUUCUGUGUGCACGAUGAAGGUUUUCGGAUUGUAAAGUGCUUUCAGCAGGGAAGAAAAAAAUGACGGUACCUGCAGAAGAAGCGACGGCUAAAUACGUG